rnacentral:rRNA from 1 species
AAAGCGUCUGCAGGUGGUUUCUUAAGUCUACUGUUAAAUCUUGAGGCUCAACCUCAAAUCUGCAGUAGAAACUAGGAGACUUGAGUAUAGUAGGGGUAGAGGGAAUUUCCAGUGGAGCGGUGAAAUGCGUAGAUAUUGGAAAGAACACCGAUGGCGAAGGCACUCUACUGGGCUAUUACUGACACUCAGAGACGAAAGCUAGGGGAGCAAAUGGGAUUAGAUACCCCAGUAGUCCUAGCCGUAAACGAUGGAUACUCGAUGUUGGACGUAUCGACCCGUUCAGUAUCUUAGCUAACGCGUUAAGUAUCCCGCCUGGGGAGUACGCUCGCAAGAGUGAAACUCAAAGGAAUUGACGGGGGCCCGCACAAGCGGUGGAGGAUGUGGUUUAAUUCGAUGCAACGCGAAGAACCUUACCAGGGUUUGCUAGAAGUGUUGGUUUUCUGAAAAGAAUUCCUUAUUCCGCUUCUACAGGUGGUGCAUGGCUGUCGUCGGCUCGUGUCGUGAGAUGUUGGGUUAAGUCCCGCAACGAGCGCAACCCUUAUUUUUAGUUCUAUUGUCUAGAAAGACUGCCGGUGACAAACCGGAGGAAGGUGAGGACGACGUCAAGUCAUCAUGCCCCUUACACCCUGGGCUACACACGUCCUACAAUGGGUAAGACAAUAAGUUGCAAAUUCGCGAGAAUAAGCUAAUCUUUGAAACUUACUCCAAGUACAGAUUGCAGGCUGCAACUCGCCUGCAUGAAGGUGGAAUCGCUA